rfam:Plasmodium yoelii yoelii 17XNL contig MALPY02383, whole genome shotgun sequence.
GCUUGUACUCAUCCCAUGUAUCAGUGGAAGGGAGAAAAAUAUGUAUAUACAUAUAUUAAAAUUUCUCCAUUCCGCUUAUCUUUUGUGAUACAAGGGUAAAAAAAUAUUAUAUUUUAUAUCUCAUGUAUAUUUUCAUUUUAUUUAUAAGUUUUUUAUAAAUAAAAUAGUAACUAUAAAUAUAUAUGUUUCAUGCGAUAUAGACAAAAAAUUGCUAUAAAUCAUGCAAGAUAUAAAUAUGUGCAUGUUGAUAUGGGUAU